UCACCUCGACGGUACAUAUACUAAAAUUGGAACUACACAGAGGAGAUUAGCGUGGCCCCUGCGCAGGGAUGACACGCGAAUUCGUGAAGAGCUCCAUAUUUUU
rnacentral:snRNA from 1 species